rnacentral:rRNA from 1 species
GUCUACAGCCAUACCACCCUGAAAACAACCCAUCUCAUCUGAUCUCAGAAGCUAUACAUGGUCAGGCCUGGUUAGUACUUGGAUGGGGGAACAUGGGGUGUUUAUAAC